GCAAGUCGAGGGGCAGCAUGAACUUAGCUUGCUAAGUUUGAUGGCGACCGGCGCACGGGUGAGUAACACGUAUCCAACCUGCCGAUGACUCGGGGAUAGCCUUUCGAAAGAAAGAUUAAUACCCGAUGGCAUAGUUCUUCCGCAUGGUGGAACUAUUAAAGAAUUUCGGUCAUCGAUGGGGAUGCGUUCCAUUAGGUUGUUGGCGGGGUAACGGCCCACCAAGCCUUCGAUGGAUAGGGGUUCUGAGAGGAAGGUCCCCCACAUUGGAACUGAGACACGGUCCAAACUCCUACGGGAGGCAGCAGUGAGGAAUAUUGGUCAAUGGACGAGAGCCUGAACCAGCCAAGUAGCGUGAAGGAUGACUGCCCUAUGGGUUGUAAACUUCUUUUAUACGGGAAUAAAGUGAGGCACGUGUGCCUUUUUGUAUGUACCGUAUGAAUAAGGAUCGGCUAACUCCGUGCCAGCAGCCGCGGUAAUACGGAGGAUCCGAGCGUUAUCCGGAUUUAUUGGGUUUAAAGGGAGCGUAGGCGGACGCUUGAGUCAGUUGUGAAAGUUUGCGGCUCAACCGUAAAAUUGCAGUUGAUACUGGGUGUCUUGAGUACAGUAGAGGCAGGCGGAAUUCGUGGUGUAGCGGUGAAAUGCUUAGAUAUCACGAAGAACUCCGAUUGCGAAGGCAGCUUGCUGGACUGUAACUGACGCUGAUGCUCGAAAGUGUGGGUAUCAAACAGGAUUAGAUACCCUGGUAGUCCACACAGUAAACGAUGAAUACUCGCUGUU
rnacentral:rRNA from 1 species